GACGAACGCUGGCGGCGUGCCUAAUACAUGCAAGUUGAGCGCUGAAGGUUGGUACUUGUACCAACUGGAUGAGCAGCGAACGGGUGAGUAACGCGUGGGGAAUCUGCUUUGAGCGGGGGACAACAUUUGGAAACGAAUGCUAAUACCGCAUAAAAACUUUAAACACAAGUUUUAAGUUUGAAAGAUGCAAUUGCAUCACUCAAAGAUGAUCCCGCGUUGUAUUAGCUAGUUGGUGAGGUAAAGGCUCACCAAGGCGAUGAUACAUAGCCGACCUGAGAGGGUGAUCGGCCACAUUGGGACUGAGACACGGCCCAAACUCCUACGGGAGGCAGCAGUAGGGAAUCUUCGGCAAUGGACGAAAGUCUGACCGAGCAACGCCGCGUGAGUGAAGAAGGUUUUCGGAUCGUAAAACUCUGUUGGUAGAGAAGAACGUUGGUGAGAGUGGAAAGCUCAUCAAGUGACGGUAACUACCCAGAAAGGGACGGCUAACUACGUG
rnacentral:rRNA from 1 species